CCUACGGGAGGCAGCAGUGGGGAAUCUUGCACAAUGGAGGAAACUCUGAUGCAGCGAUGCCGCGUGAGUGAAGAAGGCCUUUGGGUUGUAAAGCUCUUUUGUAGGGGAAGAUAAUGACUGUACCCUAAGAAUAAGGUCCGGCUAACUUCGUGCCAGCAGCCGCGGUAAUACGAAGGGACCUAGCGUAGUUCGGAAUUACUGGGCGUAAAGCGCGCGUAGGCCGUUGAGUUAGUUAAUUGUGAAAUCCCAAAGCUUAACUUUGGAACUGCAAUUAAAACUGCUCGACUAGAGUUUGAUAGAGGAAAGCGGAAUACAUAGUGUAGAGGUGAAAUUCGUAGAUAUUAUGUAGAACACCAGUUGCGAAGGCGGCUUUCUGGAUCAACACUGACGCUGAGGCGCGAAAGUAUGGGUAGCAAAGAGGAUUAGAUACCCUCGUAGUCCAUACCAUAAACGAUGAUUGCUAGAUGUUGGAAAUUUAUUUUCAGUAUCGCAGCUAACGCAUUAAGCAAUCCGCCUGGGGAGUACGACCGCAAGGUUAAAACUCAAAUGAUAAGUAGNGUUGAGAGUUGCGAGCGACACGAGGAGAG
rnacentral:rRNA from 1 species